CCUACGGGCGGCAGCAGUGAGGAAUAUUGGUCAAUGGACGAGAGCCUGAACCAGCAAAGUAGCGUGAAGGAUGACUGCUCUAUGGGUUGUAAACUUCUUUUAUAUGGGAAUAAAAUGUUCCACGUGUGGGAUUUUGUAUGUAUCAUAUGAAUAAGGAUCGGCUAACUCCGUGCCAGCAGCCGCGGUAAUACGGAGGAUCCGAGCGUUAUCCGGAUUUAUUGGGUUUAAAGGGAGCGUAGGUGGGUUGUUAAGUCAGUUGUGAAAGUUUGCGGCUCAAACGUAAAAUUGCAGUUGAAACUGGCAGUCUUGAGUACAGUAGAGGUGGGCGGAAUUCGUGGUGUAGCGGUGAAAUGCUUAGAUAUCACGAAGAACUCCGAUUGCGAAGGCAGCUCACUGGACUGCAACUGACACUGAGGCACGAAAGUGUGGGUAUCAAACAGGAUUAGAUACCCGAGUAGUG
rnacentral:rRNA from 1 species